AUGGCCAACUUCGAGGAUGGGGUGUCUGAUGAGGAGAAGGUACGCAUAGCUGCUAAAUUCAUCACCCAUACACCCCCCAGGAGAGUUUAAUGAAGUAUUCAAUGAUGUUCGGCUACUACUUAUUAAUGACAAUCUCCUCAGGGAAGGGACAGCACAUGCAUUUGCCCAGUAUAACAUGGAUCAUUUCACACCUGGGAAGAUAGAAGGAUAUGAAGAUCAGGUCCUAAUAACAGAGCACAGUGACCUGGGUAAUAGCAGAUUUUUAGAUCCAAGGAACAAAAUUUCCUUUAAGUUUGAUCACUUACGGAAAGAAGCAAGUGACCCCCAGCCAGAGGAAGUAGAUGGAGGUUUGAAGUCUUGGAGAGAAUUCUGUGACAGUGCUUUAAGAGCCUAUGUGAAAGAUCAUUAUUCCAAUGGCUUCUGUACUGUUUAUGCUAAAACUAUAGAUGGGCAACAGACUAUAAUCGCAUGUAUUGAAAGCCACCAGUUUCAGCCUAAAAACUUCUGGAAUGGUCAUUGGAGAUCAGAGUGGAAGUUCACAAUCACACCACCUACAGCCCAGGUAGUUGGAGUGCUAAAGAUUAAGGUUCACUAUUAUGAAGAUGGCAAUGUUCAGUUGGUUAGUCAUAAAGAUGUACAAGAUUCAUUAACUAUUUCUAAUGAAGUCCAAACUGCCAAGGACUUUAUUAAAAUCAUAGAGAGUGCAGAAAAUGAGUAUCAGACAGCAAUCAGUGAAAACUAUCAAACAAUGUCAGAUACCACAUUCAAGGCCUUGCGCUGGCAGCUUCCAGUUACCCGCACCAAAAUCGACUGGACCAAGAUACUCAGCUACGAGAUUGGUAAAGAAAUGCAGAAUGCUUAAAAGCUAUCUAUAGGAUUCUUCAGUGUAUGAAAGGAAAAGGAUUCAACGUGGUCAUAUGAUAAAUAAGUGAUUUAUAAACAAGAGUGAUAUUUUGCUAGGGCUUUCAAAGUUAACUGAUUUUCUAGUCUCAUGGAAUACUGUUGAACCUAUAGCAUUGUCUUGACUUUUGUGUGUGUGUGUGUUCUCUACCUUGUAGUUCUCUGUUAUCACUAUAUCUAUUAGUAUAAAUCUUUUUUUUUUCCUCCCUGCUACAUUUAAUGGAGAGUUCUAUCCUGGAGUCACUUUACCAUUUAGAAAAAUUUCCUAGCCAUGAAUUCCAGUUAUUGAUU